UACGGGAGGCAGCAGUGGGGAAUAUUGCACAAUGGGCGAAAGCCUGAUGCAGCUAUGCCGCGUGUAUGAAGAAGGCCUUAGGGUUGUAAAGUACUUUCAUCGGGGAGGAAAAACAAAACUAAUAAUUUUAUUUCUUGACGUUACCCGAAAAAGAAGCACCGGCUAACUCCGUGCCAGCAGCCGCGGUAAUACGGAGGGUGCUAGCGUUAAUCAGAAUUACUGGGCGUAAAGAGCACGUAGGUGGUUUUUUUAAAGUCAGAUGUGGAAUCCCUGGGCUUAACCUGGAACUGCAUUUUGAAACUGAAAUACUAGAGUAUCGUAGAGGGAGGUAGAAUUCUAGGUGUAGCGGUGAAAUGCGUAGAUAUCUGGAGGAAUACCUGUGGCGAAAGCGGCCUCCUAAACGAAUACUGACACUGAGGUGCGAAAGCGUGGGGAGCAAACAGGGAUUAGAUACC
rnacentral:rRNA from 1 species